rnacentral:rRNA from 1 species
CCUAUAGAACUUCUAAGAUUUAUUUACAGUUAAAUCCAUCUUUAUACUAAUUUUUAAAGUUAAUAUGUGCUUAUAAGUAAAUUGUAGCUCAUUGAGUCUAUAAAAUACGCUGCACCAUGACCUGUUUUUAUUGGGGUCUCCCAGGUAAUAAAACUUUUUAGUGAUUAAUUUUUACGGCGGUAUACAUACAUAUUUAUAGUAAGUUGGUCGUGUGGUGUCGUUUAUACAACAAGCUCCUCUAAUUUGGUGAGUUGCCGCCAAAUUCUUUGGGUUUGGAGUUAAUAAUGGUUACUACCCUCCAUGAGUUUUUUCAGAAAUAAUAGGGUAUCUAAUCCUAGUUUAA